CGCCGGCGUGGGCGCUAGUCGUGCCUCCGGACACCCCCCCCUCCUCGCUGCCGGUUACCCGCCCGAUUCACCGACGAGGAAACCGAGGCCCGGGGUGCUGAUCUGCCCCGACAGCUCCCGCAGGUUCAAGUUAACCUUUAACCGCCUGAGCUGCAGCUUCCGACACACCAGCCGGCCCGGGCGCCCACGGGCAAAGGCCCUGGGGCCGGGGAGCCAACCCCGCUUUCUGUUAAUGGUCCAAGUUCUAGAACUCAACACUGAACGCUUUGAAAGGAAACCACUGCCGCCUCCAGCCCCUCUGAGCCCUGUGACUGUAUCCAGAGACACGCGGAGACUGUAACACGUCCGUAUCGUAACAUGUUACAUUGGGCUUGUUUGACUAUUCUCAGUCCUUUCCCAACCAUUUGGAAUGAAAGCAAGAACGUGUUUCAUUUUGGGGAUGAAACAAAAAGAUUGCAGAAUGUCAUGCUCUAGACAGAAGGUAAGAUGAUUGUGUUUUUUCUUAUACAGUGAUUCUCCCCUAAUCCAUGGCUUUGCUUUUCUUAAUUUCAGUUGUCUAUCCAUGGUCAACCCUGGUGCAAAACCAAUGAAUAAAAAAUUUGAAAACAAUCAAGUUUUACAUUGUGCACUGUUUUGGGUAGCCUGGUGAAAUGUGCCUGACACAUGAGCCAUCUGUGUCCAGCAGGACUAGACCCUGGGGAUGGAAAGGAUCUUUGCCUAGUGAUAGCAACUCAUGUUUCUUCAAUUAAAGAAAGUGAGAUGAAACACAAUCUCCUUUCCCUCCAUAGAAGUUGUAUAAAGCGGAUGGGACCUAAGGAAAAUGGAAGAACUAUUUAAAGUGUUAAAUGAAAGAAAGAAAACCCUAAAAUUCUGAUUCCAGAGAAAGUAUACUUCAAAAAUGAAAGAGAAGUUAAAGACUAAGACAGAAACAUGGAGAGCGUUUGUUUCCAGUAGAUCUGAUUUGUAUAAAAUGCUAAAGAAACUCUUCAGAAAGAAGGAAAAUAAUGCCCAGAAAUACUGUGGUGGUAGACUGGAACCUCUGAACAGAAGAACACAGAAAUAAACCCAUAAUUCCAGCCAUUCAAGUGCCAGAAGUUGUUCCCAUUAUGCCGUGAAGUUCACUUGGAGCUGUUUACAUGAGAAGUUACCAACAAUACUUUGCAUCCAGGGACCACUAUCAACAUCUUGUAAAGAAUACUUCUGACUAAGAUUGGCCUGGGCUAAAAAUACUCAAGACCCUCGGAUUGCAAUAGGUUCUUAUUCCCCACUAGAAAAGAAGAUUAAGUGUGCAGGUGGCGUCUACUCUUCAGAUGCAAGAAAGCUGUUAUGCCGGGAAUUUAAGAAGGAGGCUGGAACAGUUGAUAAACUAAAGACUGUGUCUUUUGACUCCCAGAGUUCUAAAGCAGAAACACACUACCAUCAACUUCAAGAAAUGAUGACGGAGCAAACAUGGAACCAGAAAACGGAUCCAGAAUGGGAAAUGAAAACAGAGGAAGAGAAGCAAUCACAAAGCAAAAAAUCUGAAGAUGAUGAAAAAUGGGACUAUCUAGUGUCUGAGAGGGAACUGAAUCAUAUACAGAAACACAUUUACCGAGCUGAACGUGCUAGAGGCCUCAGAGACAAUAAGUACAAACUACUCCCUCAAAAAGUUCCAAGUGAAAUGCUUUUCCCCAAAAUAACACUGUACAAUGAAGAAAAAGCAAAAGUACAGCACCUAUACAAAAGAGAAACAAAAAAGCCCAAGGUGGCAUGGGCAAAGGAACAGAUAAACAAACAUGAAGAACGAAUGACUCGAGGGCGAAAACUCACAAAACAGAGAAACGACGAAAGAGAUGCCCAGAAACUCUCCAGCUAUGUUCCUCUUCUAAAACCUCAGGUGGAGAAGAAGGUGAAGGAGGAGUUUAAAAGGGUCACAGUGUAUCCUCUCUUCCAGCCUAACCACAAAUCACGUAUGGAAGUGACCGUUCUGAUGAAAAAAUCCAAAGAGGUAAAGAUUCAAAAGACAUUCCAAAAGGAGUUCUUGAGUAUACCACCAUUCUUAAGAUAUCAACUAAGGAAGAAGAAAAGUACAGCCUGGGACACGGCUCAAGUGGGAAAAUGCUUGCCUAACAAGCAAAGGUCCUAAGUUCAAACUUCAAUACCACAAAAACAGAAGCAAAAAAUAAUAAAGCUUAAGUUAUUUUCUGGAUUAUAUUUCUUUUUUAGGCUGACAUAUUUUAUGCUAAUUUGCACAGUGGGCAAUCACUAAGAGAUUGAUAAAUGGCUUAGAAGAGGUUUGGAAGAGAUGAGAUAGGAAUCAGAGACUACCAGAUGGAGGCCUAUAGUAGUAACCUCAGUAAGAUGGAGAAAAUCAAGACCAGGGAAGAAAUAGUGACUGGUUAAGGUAUAGGGUACAGUGGUUGUAGGGGAAGAAAAUAAAACCCUAGGUUUCCGUCUGAGGAAAUAAUGUGAUAAAAGCAUCAGCACAGGGAUUAUAGAUCCAGGGAGCAGUUUUAUACCUUUGGCUAAAGUAAUUCGUAAGUGCUACAAAAAGCAGUUGUUGACAUAUAUCUAGGUUUUCAAGAAAUCUAAGCACCAAACAUAGUUUUGAGAUUGUUACAAGUCUAAAAAUCAAGAGGAUAAGAUUCUAGAAGGAAUUAGAGAA